AACGCGAAGAACCUUACCCAGACUUGACAUGCAGAAGACAGUCCUAGAAAUAGGAUCUUCCUUCGGGACUUCUGCACAGGUGCUGCAUGGCUGUCGUCAGCUCGUGCCGUGAGGUGUUUGGUUAAGUCCAGCAACGAGCGCAACCCUUAUCAUUAGUUGCCAACACGUUAUGGUGGGAACUCUAAUGAGACUGCCCGGGUUAACCGGGAGGAAGGUGAGGAUGACGUCAAGUCCGCAUGGCCCUUAUGUCUGGGGCUACACACGUGCUACAAUGGUCGGUACAGAAGGCAGCGAAGCCGCGAGGUGAAGCAAAUCCAAAAAACCGAUCCCAGUUCAGAUUGUAGUCUGCAACUCGACUACAUGAAGAUGGAAUUGCUAGUAAUGGCAGGUCAGCAACACUGCCGUGAAUACGUUCCCGGGCCUUGUACACACCGGCUAC
rnacentral:rRNA from 1 species